UCGCCUGUUUAUCAAAAACAUCGCCUCUUGCAAACAUUGAAGUAUUAGAGGUCCCGCCUGCCCUGUGACAGCAGUGUUUAACGGCCGCGGUAUUUUAACCGCGCGAAGGUAGCGUAAUCACUUGUCUUUUAAAUGGAGACCUGUAUGAAUGGCAUAACGAGGGUCUGACUGUCUCCUACACCUAGUCAAUGAAAUUGAUCUGCCCGUGCAGAAGCGGGCAUACCUACAUAAGACGAGAAGACCCUAUGGAGCUUUAGGUAAAUGAUCAAGCGAAACAAGUCACGGCCAUAGUAAAGGCCUAGAAAAACAAGAACUAAUGAUCAAGAUGCCUUCGGUUGGGGCGACCAUGGAGGAAACAAAAGCCUCCAAGUGGAAAGGGAAAGCCCUUGAACUAAGAGAGACACCUCGAAGUAACAGAAUUUGUGACCAAAUAUGACCCAGGAUUUUAACCUGAUCAACGAACCCAGUUACCCUAGGGAUAACAGCGCAAUCCUCUCCCAGAGUCCCUAUCGACGAGGGGGUUUACGACCUCGAUGUUGGAUCAGGGCAUCCUAAUGGUGCAGCCGCUAUUAAGGGUUCGUUUGUUCAACGAUUAACAGUCCUACGUGAUCUGAGUUCAGACCGG
rnacentral:rRNA from 1 species